rnacentral:rRNA from 1 species
UUCCUACGGGGCGCAGCAGUGGGGAAUAUUGCACAAUGGGGGAAACCCUGAUGCAGCAACGCCGCGUGAGUGAAGAAGGUUUUCGGAUUGUAAAGCUCUGUUAGCAGGGAAGAGGAAGGACGGUACCUGCAGAGGAAGCCACGGCUAACUACGUGCCAGCAGCCGCGGUAAUACGUAGGUGGCGAGCGUUAUCCGGAAUGAUUGGGCGUAAAGGGUGCGCAGGCGGCGCAUUAAGUUUGAAGUAAAAGGUAGCGGCUCAACCGCUGCAAGCUUCGAAAACUGGUGUGCUGGAGUGCAGGAGAGGG